rnacentral:rRNA from 1 species
AUAUCAAUAAGCGGAGGAAAAGAAACUAACAAGGAUUCCCCUAGUAACGGCGAGUGAAGUGGGAAAAGCUCAACUUUGAAAUCUGGCAGCUUCGCUGUCCGAGUUGUAGUCUCGAGAAGUGUUUUCCGCGCUGGACCAUGUAUGAGUCUGUUGGAAUACAGCGUCAUAGAGGGUGAGAACCCCGUUCAUGACAUGCCUUCCAGUGCUUUGUGAUACAUUUUCGAUGAGUCGAGUUGUUUGGGAAUGCAGCUCAAAAUGGGUGGUAAAUUCCAUCUAAAGCUAAAUAUUGGCGAGAGACCGAUAGCGAACAAGUACCGUGAGGGAAAGAUGAAAAGAACUUUGGAAAGAGAGUUAAACAGUACGUGAAAUUGCUGAAAGGGAAACGCUUGAAGUCAGUCGCGUUGGCCGGAAAUCAGCCUUGGUUCUCCUUGGUGUAUUUUCUGGUUGACGGGCCAGCAUCAGUUUUGACCGGUGGAAAAAGUUGUAGGGAAUGUGGCAUCUUCGGAUGUGUUAUAGCCUUGCUUCGUAUACAUCGGUUGGGACUGAGGAACUCAGCACGCCGCAAGGCCGGGGUUCGCCCACGUUCGUGCUUAGGAUGCUGGCAUAAUGGCUUUAAUCGA